UGGGUGGAGGGAGAGGUGGUUCAAGCCCUGAGGCAGUGAGCGACUCCAAGGCAGGACUUAAAGGGCUUUGUCGGAGACUUAGGCGGGGCGACGGGGACGUGACGUGUUACGCGCCAUGACGUGUACGGCGUGAGGGGCGUGGCGAGUCGCGACGGGACGUGGCUAAGAUGGCCGCGCGCAUGAGUCUCUCCCCGGCGCUGAGUGGAGGGGGUCCACUCUCAGGGAAAUAUUCGGGUUAUUAGGUUCCUGCACGUUAUUUCGGGCCUGAUCAACAUUUCAAGCUAAACAUGGUGGUGAUGAGUAUCCUCAGGGCCAUUCUGCAAGCCUCUCCAUGCAGGUCACCGUGGAGAAGAUUCCAGAUCCCCAGCUCCGUGCCGGCGAGGCCCUGCAGCCUCUACACCUGCACGUACAAAACCCGGAACCGAGCCUUGCACCCGCUCUGGGAGAGCGUGGACCUGGUCCCGGCGGGCAAGCGCCAGUCGCCCAUCAACAUCCGGUGGAGGGACAGUGUCUACGAUCCUGGCUUAAAACCACUCACCAUCUCUUACGACCCGACCACCUGCCUCCACGUCUGGAAUAACGGGUACUCCUUCCUCGUGGAAUUUGAAGAUUCUACAGAUAAAUCAGCUGCACUCGGUGCAUCAGAAUGCAGUCACAUUUCAAAGCUUUGAGGAUGCAGCAACUGGAGGAAGGUGAUUUCACUACGAUAGGAAUAUUUUUAAAGAUGAAGUGAAGCUCGAUGAAGUUAAGUGCUCUCCUGCCACGUCAUGCAGUUAUCCGCUGGAGAAGUCAACGGCAAAGCUGUGGACCACACUCUGUGCGGUGCCUGUCAGCUCCUGUAGCUUCAGCAGCUACACAUCACAAAGAGCUGCAGAAAUUGGUGGAUACUUUGCCAUCAAUCAAGCAUAAGGACACCCUUGUGGAAUUUGGGUCAUUUGACCCUUCCUGCCUGAUGCCUGCCUGCCCAGAUUACUGGACCUACUCGGGGUCCCUGACUACCCCGCCCCUCUCCGAGUCUGUCACCUGGAUCAUUAAGAAGCAGCCCGUAGAGGUUGAUCACGAUCAGGUAUGUUCUUUCCACCUUUCUGUAUGAGGACAUGCUAGUCUGCCCCUUUAACACAAGGCUGGGCUCAAACUUUGGCAUCGGUUUGGAACAUCUUGUAAUGCUUCUACAUUUUUAUUAAAAUGCGCUAACAUCUUAUCUCAGUUUGGACAUGAAUUUGGAGAUACUUCAAAUUAACUGGAGAGAGGAGUUAAAACGUAGAAGAGCAUAAGCUUUUUGCUUUCAUUUUGGACAAUAUCCUGUCUUUUACCAUAUAUACGUUGUGUAGAAUCUCUGUAAAAAUUAAGACUUUUAAAUGAAAGGCAAAUACCAUAUGAUUUCACUCCUAUGUGGAAUUUACAAAACACAACAGAUGAACAUAGGGGAAAUAAGAUAAAAAGAGAGAGGGAACAAACCAUAAGAGACUUCUAAAGACAGAGAACAAACUGAGGGUUGCUGGAGGGAUGGUGGGUGGAGGGAUGGGCCGAAUGGGUGAUGGGCAUUAAGGAGGGCACUCGUUGGGAUGAGUACUGGGUGUCAUACGUAAGUGCUGAGUCAGUUGGUUCUACUCCUGAAACCAAUACUACACUGUAUGUUAACUAACUUGAAUUUAAAGAAAUAAAUUUUAAAAACUAAAUGAAUGGAAAAAUGAAGGCUGGAAAUGACUGUGUUCAAAACCCUUUGAUUUUCUUUUCUUUAUUAUUGUAUUGGACACACCAUGUUACAUUAGUUUCAGGCAUACAGCAUGGUGAUUUGACAACUCCAUAUGUUAGGCUGUGCUCACCACAAGUGUAGUCAACAUCUGUCAUCAUACAACUCUAUUACACUACCAUUGACUGUUUUCCCUGUGUUUUGUUUUUUCUUUUACCUUUCAAUCCCCAUGGCUUAACUAAUUUCCUUAAUUACUAAUUUUCCCCAUGACAUCACUAGAAUCCUAUACCUCCCUCUCCCUUUGACCCAUUUUUCCCAUUCCCCCCAAUACUCCCCUCCCCUCUGGCAACCUUCAUACAUAGUUUGUUCUCUGUAUUUAUGCAAAAACCCUUAAUUUUCUUAAGAGAAGCUUGCUGUGGAAUUUCAAGGUAAAGAUAGAACCCGACAAUGUCAAUACAGAAAUUUUACUCAGUCAAAAAUUUUGACUUGGUAUUUGUUUUCGUUUAGAAUCUAAGUUUAAGUGGUGGGUACUACAUGAACACGCAAAAUGUUUAAUUUAUAAGUGAAUUAAACAGUAAUAAUAAUUGCUUGUA